GCGCCUGGAUAACUGAGUUGCUGAUGCAGC
rnacentral:piRNA from 1 species